rnacentral:rRNA from 1 species
AUAUCACUAAGCGGAGGAGAGGAAACUAUCGAGGAUUCCUCUAGUAACGGCGAGUGAAUGGGGAAGAGCCCAGCGCUGAAUCUGUCGGCCUCUGGCCGCUCGGACCUGUAGCGUAUAGAGGCGGCUAUCCCGUCGCUAGCGAUCACCCUAAGUUCUCUUGACUGAGACUAUUGUCCGAAGAAGGUGCCAGGCCUGUGAGGGUGACGCCGGCGGCGGUAGGUCGUCUCUUGGAGUCGGAUUGCCUGAGAUCGCAGUCCAAAGAGGGUCGGU